AGCUCCCCGUCCUCAACGAGAAUCAGCGGUCCAAAUAGCACCAGACCCUGGUCUGACGUAGGGGAAACUGAUCAUCCCCCGGGUUCAGAAUACGGUUCCGACCUGAGUGGAACCCGGGAUUGCGUGAUUACUGGAGCGAUGUCCUGCCUAAGGGAAGCCUGCUGAGAAUGAGCAACUCCGGUUGACUUGAGUGCACAGGUUAUUCCCCGAGUUCGAUGACAAAAUUGAGCAAUAAGGGGCAAACUGUUAGGGAAAAAUAAUCAGGUAUCGAAUUCCUCCAGACCCUAGGCAGGACACGGGCCUCUGGAUCCCCGCUGGAAGGAACCCCGGUUAAAGGGAGCUGGACGAGUGAUCUGGGAGCUGGACGAGUUCU
rnacentral:lncRNA from 1 species